rnacentral:lncRNA from 1 species
UUGGGUCGGGAUUGGUCAAGCUUGGUUUUGGGCAAUAGCACCCCACCUGACGUCCCAAGGUCUCCUGACCCCCGCGACAUAUCUCCAGGUACCACUCUGUGGUCAACAAACAAAAGUAGGAAGACCGACUCUUCCACGCUUUCUCACAUCAAGCUUGUUAGAUUAUGGGGUACCCGUCAUAUGUGGUACUAGGUGGCGAUCGG